GGGCCGCACAGCGAGGAACAUGUGGUUUAAUUCGAUGAUACGCGAGGACCUUACCCGGGCUCAAACGCAUGCGGGCAGGCGGAGAAAUCCGUCCUCCUUCGGGGCUGCAUGCGAGGUGCUGCAUGGUUGUCGUCAGCUCGUGCCGUGAGGUGUCGGCUUAAGUGCCAUAACGAGCGCAACCCCCAUCUUCAGUUGCCACCGGGUCAGGCCGGGCACUCUGGAGAGACUGCCGGCGCAAGCUGUGAGGAAGGCGGGGAUGACGUCAAAUCAGCACGGCCCUUACGUCCGGGGCUACACACGUGUUACAAUGGCGGGGUACAGAAGGAAGCCAGGCUGCGAGGCCGCGCCGAUCCCCAAAACCCGUCUCAGUUCGGAUCGGAGUCUGCAACCCGACUCCGUGAAGCUGGAUUCGCUAGUAAUCGCGCAUCAGCCAUGGCGCGGUGAAUACGUUCCCGGGCCUUGUACACACCGCCCGUCAAGCCAUGGAAGCCUGGAGUGCCUGAAGUGCGUGACCGCGAGGAGCGCCCAAGGGUAAGACAGGUGACUGGGGCU
rnacentral:rRNA from 1 species